rnacentral:rRNA from 1 species
AUUGAACACUGGCGGAAUGCUUUACACAUGCAAGUCGAACGGCAGCACGGGGGCAACCCUGGUGGCGAGUGGCGAACGGGUGAGUAAUACAUCGGAACGUGCCCAAUCGUGGGGGAUAACGCAGCGAAAGCUACGCUAAUACCGCAUACGAUCUACGGAUGAAAGCGGGGGAUCGCAAGACCUCGCGCGAAUGGAGCGGCCGAUGGCAGAUUAGGUAGUUGGUGGGGUAAAGGCUCACCAAGCCAACGAUCUGUAGCUGGUCUGAGAGGACGACCAGCCACACUGGGACUGAGACACGGCCCAGACUCCUACGGGAGGCAGCAGUGGGGAAUUUUGGACAAUGGGCGAAAGCCUGAUCCAGCCAUUCCGCGUGAGUGAAGAAGGCC